GUAACACUGGAUCAAUAAGAGAUGAUCCUUACUGGAUCUCUAGGGAGAGAACAGUUUAGAACUGAUAGAGCUAUCCAGUAUAAAUAAAGCUAAAAUUAUCCCCUUCAAACACACUAGGUUCAUGUUGAUAUUCCAGCUUAUGAAGAAUAUGAAACAAUGUGUUUAUUUCACAACCAUUGGUAAGUACUGUAAGUUGAGUAGGUUAGGAUGAUUAUAGAUCAAUUUGGUGUAAAUAUACUUUAACUAUUUAUCGGCUAGUAAACCCCAUUGAUUAAUUGAUUUUAAUAAAUCUAUUAUAAACUUCCAGGAGUACAACGUACGAAGAUCUGAAGCUUCUUCGUCGCAAAUGUAAACGUAGAGAAAAACACUCCAAGCCAGGUACAACAAUAUUACGAGUCGAGUUAUACAAGAGUCCAGGGGCGGAUCUCCAAGAGGGGUGCAGGUUUUCCAUGGGGUGGUGCAUGAGAGAACCUUACUGCCCACUCUCCUCUGCAGUCUGCAACGCUACUAUCCCAACAUUGCCAUUAUGUGAGUUGAGAUGGCCAAAUCUGCAUGUUCGCCGUUCUGUUACGUUUUACAUUAUCUUUUGUUUAUAAAGUUUAUAUCGGCUUUUUAUCACGUAUGCGUGACUGGACAGUUGCUGUAGCACAGUACAGAAAAUUUGCUUGCUAAAGUACAGUAUAUUUGAAAAUAUGAUUGUAUAACAACCUCGACAUGUUUACAUAUUUAUUUUAACCAUGAUAUUUAACUAAAGCAUUCUGAGUAAUUUCUCGUGAGCUCACAAAUCGAUUAAAUCGUUUCACGCGCUAACAGUAGAAGUUCCUCUAAUCGCUAUUCGAAAAGCAGAAAAUGUUUGAUGGUCAAGCAAAUUGUUUUAGGGUGGUGCUUGGACCACGUACGGCAGAACCGCUCCUGAUUAGAGGGAUGAAUUUUAUUGUUUAUUUCAGGAUUUUUGACAUUCGGAGGUCACUGGAAUCGAAGGAGCAACACUUGUGAGAUUGCAGACUGUUUUUUUGGAGAGGGACAUAAAUACGUACCAUAGUUAUUUAUAUGUAACAUUUUAUUUUAAACACGU